rnacentral:lncRNA from 1 species
GUAGUACAGGCAGUGAGCCACGAAUUUGCUGACUUCAUGUACACAAGGAGCAGCCAAGAUCCAGGAACUGCAGUGUCUGGCCUGCCAGCAGAGAGAGAGCGGGGAAAAAUUCACACAUGAUCAAGACUUCCUCUGAGAACUGGAAGCUGAAGCCUUCAUUGCAUAAAGUGGACAACAGCAAUCAUGUGGACAAAUGCAAGAUGGCUGGUGAGAAUGAAGACAAGUGAAACAGAAACUCCCAGACCUGGGAGGAAAACAGAGCUCAAACAGAACAACUUUUCUCAAGCAAGCGUGCGUACAGCAGUAAGGAGCAGUGUGGAUCCAGAAGGCUCUGUGGACUACUGCUCAGGACCGCCUGGGGGUAAGCUGACUGAACUGUUUCAGGUAUCACUAGCACUGGGGACCUACACAGACAAACUGUUUUUCCAAUACCCUCCCAAAAGCCCCAUCUCUCUGAUACUUGCACUGCUCCUCCCCACGGCUAUGGCUACUUUCCUUUAUGUAUCUUGGUGCAAUACAGCAGUUAUUGCCAACCUCUUGCCAAAGCCAGAGAUUGCUCUUACACAGCCUCCCAAGGGGCAUAAGCUUUUCCACUUGCCUUUACACAUUCUAGGCUUUGCAUUGCUCCAAUGUGACCCUCAAAACCAAUCCCUCCUUUCUUUUUGCUAUUGCCAUUGCUUUGUGUUACUGAUGUUGCUGGAGAACUGAUGUCCGCAUUAGGCUGCCCUCCUAUCUGGUGAACAUGGCAUCCCGCUGCCACUCGCUGUUUUACAAGGUUUCUUCUGUCCUGCUCAGUACGUAGGUGAGCACAAGAAACAGCACAAUGAUCUUCAUGCUGUGCACAGCUUAGCACAAGUUGAUGCUGUUUGUCAGGAGCAGGAAAGAGAGCUGGACUGAAGAAAAGCAGUCCCAUUUCUCAGAAAAGCCUCUGAGUUGUAAGUUCGGAAAAAUAGAAGGGUGCCAGUAAAGGAGGCAGGAGCUGGCAACGCCUCCUGACACCUUUUUUGUAGGAUGCAGAAGGUCAGUAGAAAUGGCCUGUUGUGGUAUGAUGCCUGAAAGGCUGAUAUCUAAUUUCUGCUUUCUUUUCUGCUAAUUGCUGUGAUUAAAUGACUUAGAAAUUACCUCAGAGUAACUGAGUACAGGUUUGGGGCCUGUGUGUACACAGAAAUUGAAGUAAAUCAGUUUAGAGAUGUUUGGAAUAGGCAGAGCUGGCAGCAUGCAGCAGAGCGCAUAGCUGGGUGAAUUUGCAUCUUAUUUAGUACAUUAAAAAAAAGUUUUAAGCUGUGACUUGGAGAAGUCAAGCCAGGAACAAUAAGCUUGUCUAGAGAAUUCUGGUAUUAGAAACUGAAGGAUAUGGAACCCUGUC